UUGAAAGGGAAACGAUUGAAGUCAGUCAUACCAACGGGAAAUCAACCUUUUGAGCUCGGUCUCGUGGGUUUUGAAGAGUUUCAAAGCCUUCGGAUUCGCGGGAUUGGGAUCUCUUGGCGUACUUUUUCGUACGGUUAGUCAACAUCGGUUUUGAAUGUCAUAAAAUGACUGGAGGAAUGUAGCUUCGAUCUCGUAUUGAAGUGUUAUAGCCUUUGGUAGAUGUGAUGUUUGAGACCGAGGAUUGCAACGGAUACCCUUCAGGGCUAUUCGUCUGAUCUCUGAUACGUUGCCUUGAUGUUGAAAGCUUGCUUAUGAUGUUAGGGUAUUACGGUCAAAAGGUUAGAACGCGAUUACAUUCGUUAAGGAUGU
rnacentral:rRNA from 1 species